rnacentral:tRNA from 1 species
GCCCAGAUGGUGGAAUUGGUAGACACGCCAGCUUGAGGGGCUGGUGCUCAAUUACGAGCGUGCAGGUUCGACUCCUGUUCUGGGCA